ACGAGACGCUAAGGCGUUGAAGCAGUGUACGUCAGACUUCCAAGAAAAGCUCGCAAUGUCAUAAAUAAAAAUGCCUGUACCAUAACCGACACAGGUGGGUAGGUAGAGUAUACUAAGGGGCGCGAGAUAACUCUCUCUAAGGAACUCGGCAAAAUGACUCCGUAACUUCGGGAGAAGGAGUGCCUUAUUUAUAAGGUUGCAAUAACAAGAUCCAAGCAACUGUUUAUCAAAAACACAGGUCUCCGCUAAGUCGUAAGACGAUGUAUGGGGGCUGACGCCUGCCCAGUGCCAGAAGGUUAAAGAAGUUGGUUAGUGUAUGCGAAGCUGAUGACUGAAGCCCUGGUGAACGGCGGCCGUAACUAUAACGGUCCUAAGGUAGCGAAAUUCCUUGUCGGGUAAGUUCCGACCCGCACGAAAGGCGUAAUGAUUUGGAUACUGUCUCGGAGAGAGGCUCGGUGAAAUAGACUUGUCUGUGAAGAUGCGGACUACCUGCACCAGGACAGAAAGACCCUAUGAAGCUUUACUGUAACUUGAAAUUGGAAUUGGACUUUGCUUGCGCAGUAUAGGUGGGAAGCGUUGAAGAUAUUCUUGCGGGAGUAUUGGAGCUAUCAGUGAGAUACCACUCUUGUAAUGUUAGAUUUCUAACUUUGAACCAUAAUCUGGUCAAAGAACAGUUUCAGGUGGGCAGUUUGACUGGGGCGGUCGCCUCCCAAAUGGUAACGGAGGCGUACAAAGGUUUCCUCUGAACGGAUAGAAAUCGUAUCUAGAGUGUAAAGGCAUAAGGAAGCUUGACUGUGAGACCUACAAGUCGAGCAGGGACGAAAGUCGGUCUUAGUGAUCUGACGGUACUGAGUGGAAAGGCCGUCACUCAACGGAUAAAAGUUACUCUAAGGAUAACAGGCUGAUCUCCCCCAAGAGUUCACAUCGACGGGGAGGUUUGGCACCUCGAUGUCGGCUCAUCGCAUCCUGGGGCGGUAGUACGUCCCAAGGGUUGGGCUGUUCGCCCAUGAAAGCGGUACGCGAGCUGGGUUCAGAACGUCGUGAGACAGUUCGGUCCAUAUCCGGUGUAGGCGUUAGAAUAUUGAGAGGAGCCUUCUUUAGUACGAGAGGACCGAGAAGGACACACCGCUGGUGUACCAGUUAUCGUGCCAACGGUAAACGCUGGGUAGCUAUGUGUGGAGUGGAUAACCGCUGAAAGCAUCUAAGUGGGAAGCCCACCUCAAGAUGAGUAUUCUC
rnacentral:rRNA from 1 species